GUCCACAUCGACGGCGUGGCUCGGCACCUCGAUGUCGGCUCGUCGCAUCCUGGGGCUGAAGCAGGUCCCAAGGGUUGGGCUGUUCGCCCAUUAAAGCGGUACGCGAGCUGGGUUCAGACCGUCGUGAGACAGGUCGGUCUCUAUCCGCUGUGGGCGUAGGGGAUUUGAGAGGAGCUGCCUCUAGUACGAGAGGACCGAGGUGGACCGACCUCUGGUGUGCCAGUUGUCGCGCCAGCGGCAUAGCUGGGUAGCUAAGUCGGGCAAGGAUAACCGCUGAAAGCAUCUAAGUGGGAAGCCUGCCUCAAGAUGAGAUCCCCCACCAGGUUAACUGGGUAAGUGCGCCGGAAGACCACCGGCUUGAUAGGCGGCAAGUGUAAGUGCAGCAAUGCAUUCAGCUUAGCCGUACUAAUGCACGAGGGCUUAACCUA
rnacentral:rRNA from 1 species